rnacentral:rRNA from 1 species
CAAUAGCGUAUAUUAAAGUUGUUGCAGUUAAAAAGCUCGUAGUUGGAUUUGUGGCGUACGGUGUGUUCCGGGCACUUGUUGUCUGAGUAACCUGCUGUUGCCAUCCUUGGGUGGAACCUGUGUGGCAUUAGGUUGUCGUGCAGGGGAUGCCCAUCAUUUACUGUGAAAAAAUUAGAGUGUUCAAAGCAGGCUUAUGCCGCUGAAUAUAUUAGCAUGGAAUAAUGAGAUAGGACUUUUUUGCUAUUUUGUUGGUUUGCGCAAGAAGGUAAUGAUUAAUAGGGACAGUUGGGGGUAUUCGUAUUCCAUUGUCAGAGGUGAAAUUCUUGGAUUUUUGGAAGACGAACUACUGCGAAAGCAUUUACCAAGGAUGUUUUCAUUAA